rnacentral:rRNA from 1 species
GAUGAACGCUGGCGGUAUGUUUAAGGCAUGCAAGUCUAAGGUGCUCUUCGGAGUGCCUGGCAAACGGGAGAGUAACACAUUGGUAACCUUCCCCUAACUCAAGUAUAACCUCGUGAAAACGUGGACAAUCCUUGAUAGUCCAUAAUUUAAAUGCAAAUUUAUUUUAUGGUAAAGAUUUAUCGGUUAGGGCUGGGCCUAUGGCUUAUCAGCUUGUUGGUGAGGUAAAAGCUUACCAAGGCUAUGACGAGUAGCGGGCGUGAGAGCGUGACCCGUCUCACUGGAACUGAGACACUGUCCAGACUCCUACGGGAGGCUGCAGUCAAGAAUCUUUCGCAAUGGCCGAAAGGCUGACGGAGCAAUACCGCGUGAAGGAAGACACCCCUCGGGGCGUAAACUUCUUUUCUAAAGGAUGAAUUCGUGACGUUACUUUAGGAAUAAGCAACUGCUAACUUCGUGCCAGCAGCAGCGGUAAUACGAAGGUUGCAAGCGUUAUCCGGAAUUAUUGGGCGUAAAGCGUCUGUAGGUGGUUUAUCAAGUUUCAAAUUAAAACUCUAAGCUCAACUUAGAGUUAGUUUGAAAAACUGACAAACUAGAGAAUGGGAGAGGUAAGCGGAAUGGCUGGUGUAGUGGUAAUAUGCAUUGAUAUCAGCUAGAACACCAAAUGCAAAGGCAGCUUACUAGAACAUUUCUGACACUGAGAGACGAAAGCGUGGGUAGCGAAUGGGAUUAGAUACCCCAGUAGUCCACGCCGUAAACGAUGGGUACUAAGUAUUAGGAGUAUCGAUCCUUCUAGUGCUGUCGAGCUAAGUUAACACCUUAAGUACCCCGCCUGGGGAGUACGGUCGCAAGACUAAAACUCAAAGGAAUUGACGGGAACCCGCACAAGCGGUGGAGCAUGUGGUUUAAUUCGAUAAUAAGCGGAAAACCUUACCAAGGCUUGAAAUCUCCGGAAUCUCUUAGAAACAAGAGAGUGCCGCAAGGAACCGGAUGACAGGUGCUGCAUGGUUGUCGUCAGCUCGUGUCGUGAGAUGUUGGGUUAAGUCCUUUAACGAGCGAAACCCUUGCCGUUAGUUGCCAGCGUGUAAUGACGGGGACUCUAACGGGACUGCCGGUGUGAAACCGGAGGAAGGUGGGGACGACGUCAAGUCAUCAUGGCCUUUAUGCCCAGGGCUUCACACGUGCUACAAUGGUGGCCACAAAGCGACGCAAUGUCGUGAGGCUGAGCAAAUCGCAAAAAGGUCGCCUCAGUUCGGAUUGCAGGCUGACAACUCGCCUGCAUGAAGUUGGAAUCGCUAGUAAUCGCGGAUCAGCAUGCCGCGGUGAAUACGUUCCCGGGCCUUGUACACACCGCCCGUCACACCACGAAAGCUGGUUGAACCAGAAGCCGUUGACCCAACCUUCGGGAGGGAGGCGUCCAAGGUUUGGCUGGUGAUUGGGGUG